rnacentral:rRNA from 1 species
CAAUAGCGUAUAUUAAAGUUGUUGCAGUUAAAAAGCUCGUAGUUGGAUUUGUGGCGUACGGUGUGUUCCGGGCACUUGUUGCCUGAGUAACCUGCUGUUGCCAUCCUUGGGUGGAACCUGUGUGGCAUUAGGUUGUCGCGCAGGGGAUGCCCAUCAUUUACUGUGAAAAAAUUAGAGUGUUCAAAGCAGGCUUAUGCCGUUGAAUAUAUUAGCAUGGAAUAAUGAGAUAGGACUUUUUUGCUAUUUUGUUGGUUUGCGCAAAGAGGUAAUGAUUAAUAGGGACAGUUGGGGGUAUUCGUAUUCCAUUGUCAGAGGUGAAAUUCUUGGAUUUUUGGAAGACGAACUACUGCGAAAGCAUUUACCAAGGAUGUUUUCAUUAA